GACGAACGCUGGCGGCGUGCUUAACACAUGCAAGUCGAACGGAAAGGCCCUGCUUUUGUGGGGUGCUCGAGUGGCGAACGGGUGAGUAACACGUGAGUAACCUGCCCUUGACUUUGGGAUAACUUCAGGAAACUGGGGCUAAUACCGGAUAGGAGCUCCUGCUGCAUGGUGGGGGUUGGAAAGUUUCGGCGGUUGGGGAUGGACUCGCGGCUUAUCAGCUUGUUGGUGGGGUAGUGGCUUACCAAGGCUUUGACGGGUAGCCGGCCUGAGAGGGUGACCGGCCACAUUGGGACUGAGAUACGGCCCAGAAUGCUACGGGAGGCAGCAGUGGGGAAUAUUGCAGAAUGGGCGGAAGCCUGAUGCAGCAACGCCGCGUGCGGGAUGACGGCCUUCGGGUUGUAAACCGCUUUCGCCUGUGACGAAGCGUGAGUGACGGUAAUGGGUAAAGAAGCACCGGCUAACUACGUG
rnacentral:rRNA from 1 species